GACGAACGCUGGCGGCGUGCCUAACACAUGCAAGUCGAGCGAUUUACUUCGGUAAAGAGCGGCGGACGGGUGAGUAACGCGUGGGUAACCUGCCCUGUACACACGGAUAACAUACCGAAAGGUAUGCUAAUACGGGAUAAUAUGCUUUAGUCGCAUGGCUGAAGUAUCAAAGCUCCGGCGGUACAGGAUGGACCCGCGCCUGAUUAGCUAGUUGGUAAGGUAACGGCUUACCAAGGCGACGAUCAGUAGCCGACCUGAGAGGGUGAUCGGCCACAUUGGAACUGAGACACGGUCCAAACUCCUACGGGAGGCAGCAGUGGGGAAUAUUGCACAAUGGGCGAAAGCCUGAUGCAGCAACGCCGCGUGAGCGAUGAAGGCCUUCGGGUCGUAAAGCUCUGUCCUCAAGGAAGAUAAUGACGGUACUUGAGGAGGAAGCCCCGGCUAACUACGUGCCAGCAGCCGCCGUAA
rnacentral:rRNA from 1 species